CCCCAACAAGGCCCCUGCAGCAUCCCCCACCCAGGCCCUGUCUGCAUCCUCUGCUUCCCUCUGGUCCCAGGAAUACCGAGUCAUGAGGGAGAUCCUGCUUUACAGCCAGGUGGCUGUAAAGAAUUACAACCAAAGCCCGAGGAGCAAUUUGGGGCCUGGUUCCAGGACAUGGAGCUGCUCAACGAGAAUGAUAGCUACAGCCUGUCCUGCCAGCUGGAGCCCCAGGCCUAGUUGGCCAGCAGAAUACUCAAGGCCAAGAAGAACCGGCCGUCAUCAAGGUCAGGGGUCAAAGACCAAGGGCAGAGGUCCUCAAGAGGUCAAGUCUAAUCUACCUACGGAUGUGGCAGGCUUAACUAUGGAUGUUCAAGCCAGACAUUGCCAGCAGAACCAAAUCUCUUCACCCAUAGGUUCAUCUUGGCUGAAAUCCUCCCACGUGUGUUGUUUUCUGUCCAGCUUGCCUCCCUCAG